rnacentral:misc_RNA from 1 species
GAUGAAGAACGCAGCGAAAUGCGAUAAGUAAUGUGAAUUGCAGAAUUCAGUGAAUCAUCGAAUCUUUGAACGCACAUUGCGCCCGCCAGUAUUCUGGCGAGCAUGCCUGUUCGAGCGUCAUUUCAACCAUCAAGCCCCAGGCUUGUGUUGGAGCCCUGCGGCUGCCGCAGCCUCCCGAAACCAGUGGCGGGCUCGCUAUCACACCGAGUGCAGUAGUUUACUCUUCGCUCAGGGCGUGUGGCGGGUGCUAGCCGUGAAACCCCCAACUUCUCAAGGUUGACCUCGGAUCAGGUAGGAAUACCCGCUGAACUUAAGCAUAUCAAUAAGCGGAGGA